GUCCAACGUUAAUCGGGGCAGGGUGAGUCGACCCCUAAGGCGAGGCCGAAAGGCGUAGUCGAUGGGAAACAGGUUAAUAUUCCUGUACUUGGUGUUACUGCGAAGGGGGGACGGAGAAGGCUAUGUUGGCCGGGCGACGGUUGUCCCGGUUUAAGCGUGUAGGCUGGUUUUCCAGGCAAAUCCGGAAAAUCAAGGCUGAGGCGUGAUGACGAGGCACUACGGUGCUGAAGCAACAAAUGCCCUGCUUCCAGGAAAAGCCUCUAAGCAUCAGGUAACAUCAAAUCGUACCCCAAACCGACACAGGUGGUCAGGUAGAGAAUACCAAGGCGCUUGAGAGAACUCGGGUGAAGGAACUAGGCAAAAUGGUGCCGUAACUUCGGGAGAAGG
rnacentral:rRNA from 1 species